GCCCAGUGAUAAAAUUCAACGGCCGCGGUACCCUAACCGUGCGAAGGUAGCAUAAUCACUUGUUCUCUAAAUAGGGACUCGUAUCAACGGCAUCACGAGGGCUGUACUGUCUCCUUUCUCCAAUCAGUGAAACUGAUCUCCCCGUGAAGAAGCGGGGAUUUUUAUAUAAGACGAGAAGACCCCAUGGAGCUUUAAACUUAUCAUAUACCUCCUUACUCCUAUGUCAAACCCAUUUAAGGAACCUGUAUGUUAGUUUUGGGUUGGGGGGACCACGGAGUAUAAUUUAACCUCCAUGACAAAUGGGCUAACGCCCUUAUCUAUGAACUACAACUCUAAGAAUCAUAAACUGAUGUUUAAUGACCCGAUAAUUCGAUCAACGAACCAAGUUACCCUGGGGAUAACAGCGCAAUCUACUUCAAGAGCCCCUAUCGACAAGUAGGUUUACGACCUCGAUGUUGGAUCAGGGUAUCCUAGUGGUGCAGCCGCUUCUAAUGGUUCG
rnacentral:rRNA from 1 species